AACUAAGUUUGUUAUUGGUAUGAUCUUUUGUGUGCAUGCACAAUUCUUCAGAAUUCAGAAUCGGAUUUCUUCAGAUUCUUCAGAAGUGUGCAUGCACACGAAAGCUCAUACCAAUAACAAACUUAGUUGG